rnacentral:rRNA from 1 species
CAGUCGAACGAAGCGAUAGAGAACGGAGAUUUCGGUUGAAGUUUUCUAUUGACUGAGUGGCGGACGGGUGAGUAACGCGUGGGUAACCUGCCCUAUACAGGGGGAUAACAGUUAGAAAUGACUGCUAAUACCGCAUAAGCGCACAGCUUCGCAUGAAGUGGUGUGAAAAACUGAGGUGGUAUAGGAUGGACCCGCGUUGGAUUAGCUAGUUGGUGAGGUAACGGCCCACCAAGGCGACGAUCCAUAGCCGGCCUGAGAGGGUGAACGGCCACAUUGGGACUGAGACACGGCCCAAACUCCUACGGGAGGCAGCAGUGGGGAAUAUUGCACAAUGGGGGAAACCCUGAUGCAGCGACGCCGCGUGAAGGAAGAAGUAUCUCGGUAUGUAAACUUCUAUCAGCAGGGAAGAAAGUGACGGUACCUGACUAAGAAGCCCCGGCUAAUUACGUGCCAGCAGCCGCGGUAAUACGUAAGGGGCAAGCGUUAUCCGGAUUUACUGGGUGUAAAGGGAGCGUAGACGGUUUGGCAAGUCUGAUGUGAAAGGCAUGGGCUCAACCUGUGGACUGCAUUGGAAACUGUCAGACUUGAGUGCCGGAGAGGCAAGCGGAAUUCCUAGUGUAGCGGUGAAAUGCGUAGAUAUUAGGAGGAACACCAGUGGCGAAGGCGGCCUGCUGGACGGUAACUGACGUUGAGGCUCGAAAGCGUGGGGAGCAAACAGGAUUAGAUACCCUGGUAGUCCACGCUGUAAACGAUGAAUACUAGGUGUCGGGUGGCA